CUACCUUGCUAUGACUUUUGAGAUGUUACUCAGAUGGGUUAGUCGAAACUAAUUAUACCUAAAAAAAGCAGUUAAAUACCUAGUUAAAUUAUAAUAAAAUUAUAAAUUAAAGAAUAACUACACUAACUAUUCAAAUAAAUGAAUAACCAAAUCAAUUUUUCUUUUCAUUUAUUAUUUUAACCUCUGAUUCUACUUACCUUUUUAAGGUUAGCUUUUUUAAGGUUAAGUAGACUUAUUUAGUUUAUUUUUAUUUAAUCUUUGCUCUCCUCCCCAUAUGGAGAAGGAGCCUCUUCCCCUUAUGGGAAAGAGAAAUUAAAGUUUAAUAAAAAAAUAAAAAACUCCUUACUACUAAGCCCUACCCAAAGGUAGGCAAGAAAGUACUCAAUAAAUAAAUAAAUAGAAAUAGAUAUAUAGAUAAUAAAACAAUUAAUUUUUAUUAUUUAUAAUGUUUUACCUUAGUUAAAGAUAUACUUCGCGGCGCUUUCCCCCAAGCUGAACUUCUCCCCAGCGACAGACGGUUAG
rnacentral:rRNA from 1 species